rnacentral:rRNA from 1 species
UACGUAGGGGGGCAAGCGUUGUCCGGAUUUAUUGGGCGUAAAGAGCGUGUAGGCGGCUAGAUAGGUCCGUUGUGAAAACUCGAGGCUCAACCUCGAGACGUCGAUGGAAACCAUCUGGCUAGAGUCCGGAAGAGGAGAGUGGAAUUCCUGGUGUAGCGGUGAAAUGCGCAGAUAUCAGGAAGAACACCCGUGGCGAAGGCGGCUCUCUGGGACGGUACUGACGCUGAGACGCGAAAGCGUGGGGAGCAAACAGG